GACGAACGCUGGCGGCGUGCCUAACACAUGCAAGUCGAGCGGAGAUGUAGAGUAGUUUACUACGAAGCAUCUUAGCGGCGGACGGGUGAGUAACGCGUGGGCAACCUGCCUUACAGAGGGGGAUAACAGUGCGAAAGCACUGCUAAUACCGCAUGAAAUUGUGAUAUCACAUGGUAUUGCAAUCAAAGGAGAAAUCCGCUGUAAGAUGGGCCCGCGUCUGAUUAGCUAGUUGGUGAGGUAAUGGCUCACCAAGGCGACGAUCAGUAGCCGAUCUGAGAGGAUGAACGGCCACACUGGAACUGAGACACGGUCCAGACUCCUACGGGAGGCUG
rnacentral:rRNA from 1 species